rnacentral:misc_RNA from 1 species
UCCCGCUUAUCACGGGCAGUUCCCCUAAAGUGCCCACCAUCACGUGCUGGCAACAUGGAACGAGGGUUGCGCUCGUUGAGGGACUUAACCCAACAUCUCACGACACGAGCUGACGACAACCAUGCACCACCUGUGCACGACCCUUACGGACCCCCCAUCUCUGGAAGAUUUCCGUGCAUGUCAAGCCUAGGUAAGGUUCUUCGCGUUGCAUCGAAUUAAGCCACAUGCUCCACCGCUUGUGCGGGCCCCCGCCAAUUCCUUUGAGUUUCAACCUUGCGGCCGUAGUCCCCAGGCGGUUCACUUAAUGCGUUAGCUGCGGCACCGAGGGAAACCCCCGACACCUAGUGAACAUAGUUUAGGGCCAAGACUAC